UACGUAGGUGGCGAGCGUUAUCCGGAAUUAUUGGGCGUAAAGAGCGCGCAGGUGGUUGAUUAAGUCUGAUGUGAAAGCCCACGGAUUAACCGUGGAGGGUCAUUGGAAACUGGUCGACUUGAGUGCAGAAGAGGGAAGUGGAAUUCCAUGUGUAGCGGUGAAAUGCGUAGAGAUAUGGAGGAACACCAGUGGCGAAGGCGGCUUCCUGGUCUGUAACUGACACUGAGGCGCGAAAGCGUGGGGAGCAAACAGGAUUAGAUA
rnacentral:rRNA from 1 species